UACAGAGGGUGCGAGCGUUGUCCGGAAUCACUGGGCGUAAAGGGCGCGUAGGCGGUCUCUUAAGCGUGUGGUGAAAGCCCGGGGCUCAACUCCGGGUCGGCCGUGCGAACUGGGGGACUGGAGCUUGUCAGAGGCAGGCGGAAUUCCGGGUGUAGCGGUGGAAUGCGUAGAGAUCCGGAAGAACACCGGUGGCGAAGGCCGGCCUGCUGGGACAGUGCUGACG
rnacentral:rRNA from 1 species